rnacentral:rRNA from 1 species
GCGCGAAAACUUUACAAUGCGGGAAACCGUGAUAAGGGGACACCGAGUGCCAGCAUCAUAUGCUGGCUGUCCAGAUGUGUAAAAUACAUCUGUUAGCAAGGGCCGGGCAAGACCGGUGCCAGCCGCCGCGGUAACACCGGCGGCCCGAGUGGUGAUCGUGAUUAUUGGGUCUAAAGGGUCCGUAGCCGGUUUGGUCAGUCCUCCGGGAAAUCUGAUAGCUCAACUAUUAGGCUUUCGGGGGAUACUGCCAGACUUGGAACCGGGAGAGGUAAGAGGUACUACAGGGGUAGGAGUGAAAUCUUGUAAUCCCUGUGGGACCACCUGUGGCGAAGGCGUCUUACCAGAACGGGUUCGACGGUGAGGGACGAAAGCUGGGGGCACGAACCGGAUUAGAUACCCGGGUAGUCCCAGCCGUAAACGAUGCUCGCUAGGUGUCAGACAUGGCGCGACCGUGUCUGGUGCCGCAGGGAAGCCGUGAAGCGAGCCACCUGGGAAGUACGGCCGCAAGGCUGAAACUUAAAGGAAUUGGCGGGGAGCACAACAACGGGUGGAGCCUGCGGUUU